GCGGUGACCGGUUCGCAACGGCGGCAGCGGUGGGUCUGAUCAACCUUUCUGCGUCGCUCGCCAAGACGGCGGUUCGAUUCCGCCGCGCCGCUCCA
rnacentral:tRNA from 1 species